UUAAGGGCUAAUCUGUCAGAUAAAUGUGGUAGAUCAAAGCUCUGUUCAUUCCCAUCAACGUACCUCAGGGACAUGCAAAUGCCUAAACACAUUUCCUUUGCAUGGGCAUGAAUUUGAAUUUCACUGGAAAUUGGCAUGCUGUGGAUGCAACUUUGGAGUGCCUUCCGUAGCAAGCGUGCAUGAGCGAGCCUGCAGCCGAAGUAGCUGUCAUCAGACUGCUGCAUCCUAACCUAUAUGCCACCUCUGACCUUACGAUUUGCAAUACCCCAGACAUGUCUGACAGAGAUGAUUGACAGCCGCGUGAGAGAAGGGGUGGCACUGUUAGCCGCGAUGAUGGCCUACAGGUUCAGAAUUGUCAGCCAGGUGCUUCUUAAAUGGAGCCCUUUGUACUACAGCUAAUAGGAAUAAAAGAAGGUCCUGAAUAGCAGUCAACAAAACUGGAGUUCAAACAUCAGAACUGGAACCAAAUGCUAACAGUGGUGCAGAUAAGUGUUAACCAACCAGAAGGAAAAAUCAGGAACAACAAUUCAAGCUGGAAAAACACAAGAGAGAAAACAAAUCCCCAUAUGAGUAAAACUCGAAAUAAAGGAAUAAAUAAUAACAAGGAACAAUAAUAUUGAGCGAUAAACCAAUAUACAACAAA